rnacentral:rRNA from 1 species
AUGUCAUGUGCAUUGUCUAUGUCUAUUAUUUGCUCACAUGACAUGAGUGCCAUGAUUUCCUCUAGUUUAUUGCAUCUUAGCACUACUAGCUUGCACGACUUGAUUACUAUGCUUGACUUGAUUGCCUCACACAUGAUGAACAAUUGCUCUUUCUAUUGUGUUGAGUGCCACACGAUAUUCACUACACCCAAUGCACAUUAUGAUUGGAUUGUCUUGCACUUGACACAUGUGUUUAGACACUUCAUUUUAUUUGGUAUUGUGAAUGAUUCCUAUGCCUACCAUAGACCUUUCAUUGAGCAAUUUGUGAAUGCUUACUAUGAACUUGAGGUAGAUGCUUCUUCACUUGUCCAACAUAUUUGCAUCAAUACCUCACAUUUACAUGCUUGUCCCCAUGAUAUAUUUGCUUGUGCUCAAUUUAUGCACUUAUAUGCCAUGUCACAAUCCUUUGUCACACCAUAUGCUUUGCAUGAUGACGACACUUGUUUGGUGAAUCGCCUCUUGAAUGCUUGGUUUUGCACUAACGCUAACCACAUUCAUUUUUCCAAGUGUUUGUUGUCCUUGCUCCUUUUGAAGGAAUCACUACACGGUGCGACAUUGGAGAGUGCCCAUUGCGAGCUUCAAGAUGACAAGAACUUGGUGAAUGUCCACUUCUACAUGGCGAAGCCAUCUCUUUCCCAUGGUGAUUUGGAUUUCGAUCCGAGGUCGGAUCUUUCCCAAGGGAGGGGAGAUGAUGCGAAGCAUCCUACAGGCAUCACCAUGUCAAGAGUCCAUUUGGCAAGUGACACGUGCGACAUCUACUUCUCAUACCUAAAGGUGAAUCUUCCCCUUUACACGUGUUCACUCAACCCCUUUGAGGAUGGUAUACUACUUGACACCCCUCUCGUGUGCAUGCAUAGGUAUUGUUGGAACUUCACGGAUGACGAGGAGGAGUGCAAGCGCCAAGGAACACCUACACCAUCCGCGAGGGAAGCCUGGAAGAGAAGACGCAAGAAGAAGAGCUGUCGAAGAAGCUCCAACCACCGGACGACCGGUCGGGUCCGGACGUCCGGCGCCUGA